rnacentral:rRNA from 1 species
UACGUAGGGGGCAAGCGUUAUCCGGAUUUACUGGGUGUAAAGGGUGCGUAGGUGGCAGGGCAAGUCAGAUGUGAAAGCCCGGGGCCCAACCCCGGUACUGCAUUUGAAACUGUCCGGCUGGAGUGCAGGAGAGGUAAGCGGAAUUCCUAGUGUAGCGGUGAAAUGCGUAGAUAUUAGGAGGAACACCAGUGGCGAAGGCGGCCUGCUGGACGAUGACUGACGUUGAGGCUCGAAAGCAUGGGUAGCGAACAGG